ACGAACGCUUGCGGCGUGCUUAACACAUGCAAGUCGAACGGAAAGGCCCUGCUUUUGUGGGGUGCUCGAGUGGCGAACGGGUGAGUAACACGUGAGUAACCUGCCCUUGACUUUGGGAUAACUUCAGGAAACUGGGGCUAAUACCGGAUAGGAGCUCCUGCUGCCUGGUGGGGGUUGGAAAGUUUCGGCGGUUGGGGAUGGACUCGCGGCUUAUCAGCUUGUUGGUGGGGUAGUGGCUUACCAGGGCUUUGACGGGUAGCCGGCCUGAGAGGGUGACCGGCCACAUUGGGACUGAGGUACGGCCCAGACGCGUACGGGAGGCAGCAGUGGGGAAUCUUGAACAAUGGGCGGAAGCCUGAUGCAGAAACGCCGCGUGUGGGAUGACGGCCUUCGGGGUGUAAACCGCUUUCGCCUGUAACGAAGCGUGAGUGACGGUAAUGGAUACAGAAGCACCGGCUAACUACGUG
rnacentral:rRNA from 1 species